CUAAACUCCCGUCUCGAUAAACGAAACACGCGAGCGGGUAUCUGCAAAACUACCUCUUGUUUCAAUUUAGGGUUUCGAGACGGGAGAAGAGCAGCGGCGUCUCGCUCUCUCUCUCGCUCUCUGCCUCGAGCAGGUCGGGCGAAGGCUUCGGACCAGAGGACGCAACGCAUCUCUUUAAAGCCCUAAACGAGGGAUGACUCUUGGAAUCCGAUGUGGGUUUUUCUUUGCCGAUGGUCGACGCCGAGGUAUUAUCGGCCCCUCGCCGUGUGGUGUGAAGCGAUUGUGGAUGUGUUGCUGCUGGUCAGAUUAGAUUUAACUUUGGAGAUUUGCGGUACUUCUCGAUGAUCGUUCUGCCCACCGGCUUAGUUGAGACAGAGGCGAACGUUGGUGGGGGCGAUGCUGCCAUGAGUAGUUCGUCCGAGUCUUGAGCCUGAUCGGAUCUUCAAACUCGAGAAACAUAACAGAUUUAGCAUCAUGAAAUACGGCUAUGAAUCUUGAAACAUCUAGUCAGAAAAUGGUGACUUGCUAUCUUGCAUUUGAAAAGAAUGCCCUUCUUUGCACUCGAAUUGUUCAAUCUUUUUGGUAUGUCCAUCAAAUUGUCUUCUUGCCGUGCAGGAUUACGGUGUUGUGUUUCCUCGCCAACCUUCUUUUCGUCUACAUCAAACUCAAGGAAAUGGGCAGUCGGGUUAUAUGCUAAAUGUUUUGUUCCAACCGACGAUAUUUCUUGGGCAACAUUCUGUAUCCAUAUACAUGGAAAAUUCUUGGAAAGAUAUUAGUGCUUGAAGUCAGGGUCAAGCUUUUUGAGAAGUAUUUGAACUAAUGAGCUAUACGACUGAUGUAGCACGCAAGUGCAUCAAUUUUGUCAGCAGUGAAGAAAUGGAAGCUGUCACAAGUUGAGCCCUUUAACCCCUUAAA